UUAUUGUAUUAUAUAUUAUCUAUUGAAUAAGACUGCUAUGUUGCUAUUUUGAAAUCCAGUAGCAAACAUUCGUGUAAUUAUAAAACGCAAUGAAUCUCAUUCUUAAGCUUGAAAACAGUUUGUACAUAAUGGAAAUAUAUAGCUUCAUACAGUACAACCAAUGACAUGAAAAUAAUUUUACUAAACAAAAAUUAAGAUAUACACUAACAUGUAGAUUGUCCUUCUAUUGUAAACAACUAACAUUUAGUGUCUUUGCUGAACUCUCAUUGAAGGGAAGAGAAAAAAGUCAUGAUCAGUUCUUUUGCAAAGCAAUGUAAAUAAUGUGAAAUGAAUUAACUACCAAUCCAAGUAAAUACACACUUAUAAGUUAAUUGCAAGUGACAACUUAACAAACCGUUUGGUAUGACUUUUUUUUUUAUGAAAUAUAAAAAAACUCCAAUCAAUGAGAGAAUAUUUUUUCUAACCCUUUUUAAAAAAAAACUGAUGAGGAUAUACUGUGAAUUCAUUAUUAAUCAUUGUUUAUCAAUUUGCAUUGAUUUCAUGGGAACAAGUUAACCACAAAAUUGAACGUAGACCUUGACAAAACCACGAAAUUUAGUAUCCAUGGAAAAGCAAGUAUUCCUUAAUCCAGUAAAAUUGGUACCCCCGAAUAUAAAUGUAUUGAUAGUAAUUUGUGUUGAUUUAAAUAAAUUUGAGACAUUUAUUAACUAGAGACUGUCAUCACAAAUCUUAAACAACUAUUGAUGUAUGAAUUCAGAAGUUAACACUGUUACGAUAGACUUUCAAAUUUAAGUCACAUACAUAUCCCAAAUCAUUAUUUGUUGUCAAAUAAAAACAUCCAAUAAAUACUCAUGAGUACUUAUCUAGGUUAAUUUUUUUUGGGACAAGAAUACUUUUUAAGAUAAUGUAUGCGUCUUACUGACUGCAUAUCUAAUUUAGUAUGAUUGAAUUUUUUUCUAUGAAAGUUUCUCUCUCUGUUGAAUUCAAUACAAAACAAAUUAAAAAAAAACAGACAUGAGCACAACAUUUAAGUUAUGAAUAUAACUCGUGCCACCAAUUUGUAAUAUAGAUGUCUCUUUUGAUAACCAACAUGACUAUCAUGUGUUGUCAGAUAACCAAACAAGAAAUAAAGUAUCCAAAU
rnacentral:lncRNA from 1 species